rnacentral:rRNA from 1 species
AUUGAACGCUGGCGGCAGGCUUAACACAUGCAAGUCGAACGGUAACAGAAAGAAAGCUUGCUUUCUUUGCUGACGAGUGGCGGACGGGUGAGUAAUGCUUGGGAAUCUAGCUUAUGGAGGGGGAUAACUACGGGAAACUGUAGCUAAUACCGCGUAAUAUCGAGAGAUUAAAGGGUGGGACCGCAAGGCCACCUGCCAUGAGAUGAGCCCAAGUGGGAUUAGGUAGUUGGUGAGGUAAAGGCUCACCAAGCCGACGAUCUCUAGCUGGUCUGAGAGGAUGACCAGCCACACUGGAACUGAGACACGGUCCAGACUCCUACGGGAGGCAGCAGUGGGGAAUAUUGCACAAUGGGGGGAACCCUGAUGCAGCCAUGCCGCGUGAAUGAAGAAGGCCUUUCGGGUUGUAAAGUUUCUUUUCGGUAGCGAGGAAGGCAUUUAGUUUAAUAGACUAGAUGAUUGACGUUAACUACCGAAGAAGCCAGCUAAC